ensembl:snRNA U6 U6 spliceosomal RNA
GCUGGCUUUGGCAGCAAAUGUACAGACUGGAGCAACACAAAGAAGAUUAGCAAGGUCCCUGCAUAAGGAAAACAUGCAGACUUGAAGUAGUAGAUGCAAGUCUA